UUGAGGCAAGGUCUGAAGACUGACUCCGAAGCGAAAUUUUUAUGGGGAAAAAAAAGAAAAGAAAAGCUUCACACGUUUCCGUAUUAUCAGCACGCUCUCUUUCUUGCUGCCAAGGACAUUGUUGUUGCUGGAACGGCCUGGAAAUCACAUCAACGGGAAAGAUGAGCAUUAGGACUUCUCAUCAGAGGCAAAAGCAGUAAUCCCCACCUCCCACCAAGUGGUGGGAAAUCAAAUCUCGAGAACAGAUGGGGAAAUGUGGCAAUACCUCCUGACCUUGUGCACUUUGGGGUCCCCAUUUCGGCCACAAAGAUGACAGGAGGAGAGAGAUGGGGGAGUUCAGAAUAAUAACUUCAAACUCUCCCGUCUACAUCCUGGCUCCACUCUCAUCUCCAGAGAGACUUGGGUUUUAACUGGAUCAGAAGGAGUUACUUAUCUAUUAUUCUGGAAGGACUGUUUCUGAAAGAAUUGUUGGCUCCAUCCAAAAUUCCCUUUUCUUUUUCUCCUUUUCUUUUUCUCCUUUUUUUAAGUUACUAUGAUCUACAACCCCUUAUCCAGUUUCCCAAAAAUUGCAUCAGUUAAUCUGGCAAGCGUCCAGAAAGGAAACUGUUGGGAACAGUUGGGAACUAAGAAUUCGGUCACCACCCUCUCCCACUUCCUACAUUUCCUCAGGACCCUGAGGUCACCAAGGUCAAGCUUAUGAUCAGAGAAUUAUUUGGGGUUCCACAUUCUCCUUUUUGCUCGCAUAUCCAUGAUCGGUAAUGAUCUCACUUUACACUGAUGUUCAGGAAUCCUGUAGGUAGUUGAGCUGAGAAGAGCUACAAGAAAUGAUGCCACAUUUUCAGGAUUCAGCUUAAAAUUUUAGUAAUAUCCAGUCAGCAGCUGUGAGUAGAAAUUCUUACUGGAAAAAGUGUUGUAUCAUUGAAGAGGAACAUGGAAAUUACUUCCUUCUACUUAAGAAAUGUUAGCCAUGAGGUUUUUCUGCCUCCUCAGCAUAGCUGCCCUGAACGCUGUUUCUCUUUUCUCCUUCCACUCCUGUUUUCUAAUGUUUUAUUGAGUUCUAACAAGAGGCCAGGGACAGCUGUCGGUGCCGAACAUGUCUUAGUUCAUUCCAACCUCUGAACGGUCCUCUGAGGUAGGCAACAUUAUUAUUCCCAUUUUACCAGUGAAAAACUGAAACACAGAAAGUUUGAGUGACUUGCCUGAAAGAAUGGACGAUUUGGGAUCCAAAGCUAGGCAUUUGGGUUCCAGAGCCCAGCCUCUUUAUUUUUUUAAUGUUUGUUUAUUUAUUCUGAGAGAGACAGAGAGAGGGCUGGGUGGAGAGAGAGAGAGAGAGAGAGAGAGAAUCUCAAGCAGGCUUUGUGCUAUCAGUGCUGAAACCGAGAGUCUGAGCCACCCGACACACCCAGAGCCCCGACUCGACCACCAUUCCACACUGACUGGUUCUGACAAUUCUCCUCUCUUCCUACUUAGAAUCUGUUCGUUCACCUCCUUGCCCCUGCCCCACCUCAUCCUUCCUCCCACGUCUCCCCCUUGGCUCAUCCCAUCCUCGUCUUCUAACUGCUCCUUCCCUGAUGCUUCUUUUCAAGCCCACAUUUAUCUUUGUUCUUGUAGAAUAGGUCUAAGAUCUCCUUACACCUUACAAGGCAGCCUUCCUGACCAACUUCACCGCGCUCUGACCAGGUGCUGACUCCAUGUCACUUGUGGAGGGCACUGCCUUGUUAUCAAGCUUUGCUUACUCAUUGCCUUGAACACCAACACCCUUAUAAUUCAGGAGGCACGCACGUAGGUAUGACAGCUGAGCCACUCAGGGGCAUAGCUAAGAACCCCAAGAAGAAAAGGGAAAGAAACUUUAGCCUCCGAAUAGGUGGCAGCAUUGAUGGACUAAGCUUCUUUCUUUGUGCUCACUGCCUUCUGAACUUCAGGAACAAAUCAUUUAGAGCAGAAACUGGCACUGUGGCCCACCAUCGUUUUUUUUAUAAAUAAAGUUUUAUCAGAACACA